rnacentral:lncRNA from 10 species
CCAAGUAUUACUUUAAUAGCUUAGGCAUUUGUGGUUAGUACAGAUGACUUUUUUCUAUUUGUUUUCAGAAGCCCAAAUACCGUAAAUAGAAUCCUGCAGCAAGCCUUGUGUUUCAACUGUAUAACAGAAGCUUGAACUGGGGAUUUUUAACAAUUCCACUUCAAAGGAAAGCAGACUAGUCAGUAGCUCAGUUUUGUCCUUUUGAAGCAAACAAUAAUAGAUGUGCCAGUUUGCAAAAUGUGCACAUAUGACUAGUGUAUCAACAUUGUUAAAUAAAAGGUUAUUGCAUUAAAUAAGAUGACCUUGCUACCUUUUAGUCACAGUCUUAGAGAGCAAACUUGUUUUAAUUAGCAGUCAGCAAGCAGACUGUAACUUCACUGAAGGAGCAUUGAAGAAUCACUGCCUAUUAACAACCCAGCGCUUGAUCACUGAAAUGAUUUGGAGAGUUCUAAAGGUAGCACAGAUCUCCAAAGAUCAUCUGACAUGGACCUUUCUAUCCAGGAAAGCUACAUUUUACUCAUCCAAGGAAUUGAUGGCUCCUUACGUUUAAAAUAUCCUCAGGUAUGCAGAGCCUGUCAGGCCUCUGAGCCCAAGCCAAGCCAUCACAUCCCCUGUGACUUGCACAUAUAUGCCCAGAUGGCCUGAAGUAACUGAAGAAUCACAAAAGAAGUGAAUAUGCCCUGCCCCACCUUAACUGAUGACAUUCCACCACAAAAGAAGUGUAAAUGGCCAGUCCUUGCCUUAAUUGAUGACAUUACCUUGUGAAAGUCCUUUUCCUGGCUCAUCCUGACUCAAAAAGCACCCCCACUGAGCACCUUGCGACCCCCACUCCUGCCUGCCAGAGAACAAACCCCCUUUGACUGUAAUUUUCCUUUACCUAUCCAAUCCUAUAAAACGGCCC